rnacentral:rRNA from 1 species
UACGUAGGGUGCAGGCGUUAAUCGGAAUUACUGGGCGUAAAGCGUGCGCAGGCGGUCUUUUAAGUCAGAUGUGAAAUCCCCCGGGCUUAACCUGGGAACUGCGUUUGAAACUGGAAGGCUUGAGUGUGGCAGAGGGGGGGUGGAAUUCCACGUGUAGCAGUGAAAUGCGUAGAGAUGUGGAGGAACACCGAUGGCGAAGGCAGCCCCCCUGGGUCAAGACUGACGCUCAUGCACGAAAGCGUGGGGAGCAAACAGG